UACGAAGGGGGCUAGCGUUGCUCGGAAUCACUGGGCGUAAAGCGCACGUAGGCGGACUUUUAAGUCGGAGGUGAAAUCCUGGAGCUCAACUCCAGAACUGCCUUCGAUACUGAGAGUCUUCGAGUUCGGGAGAGGUGAGUGGAACUGCGAGUGUAGAGGUGAAAUUCGUAGAUAUUCGCAAGAACACCAGUGGCGAAGGCGGCUCACUGGCCCGGAACUGACGCUGAGACGCGAAAGCGUGGGGAGCAAACAGG
rnacentral:rRNA from 1 species